rnacentral:lncRNA from 1 species
CUGAGAUUUUCUGCUCCAGUGAUAUUGAAGAAUUCUUGCGAGAAGCAGCAUUCAUGAAGGAAUUUGACCAUCUAAAUGUCUGCAAAUUAAUAGGUAAAUAGGUUUUAUAGCAAAUACUACCUACCACAGUGAAAAUAUGCUUACACGGUAAAUGUGUUGCUUUUCUUUACCCAUAAAAUACAUUUGUUAAGAAAAAUAUUAAAAUGAAUCAAGUCUAUAUUUUAUAAUUAACCCCUUAGCGACCGAGGACGGUUCAGGACCGUCAUCGGCAUUUUUGCCUUGAGGACCGAUGACGGUCCUGAACCGUCCUAACGGUCUGGGGGUACUUACCUGAUCGCCGUCGUUCCCCCGGCGGCGAUCAGCGUUGCUCCGGUUGUGGGGAGACUGCCUGCAGCCCAGACAGUCUCCCCACACUGAUUUAGGACCCCUGUGGCCAUGUGAUAGCUUAACACAGCGAUCACAUGGUCACAAUAGGUGUCCAUAGUGUUUGCAGGACUGCGCCGACAGGCAGCCCCCAAGUAGUGUAAAAUCAAAAAAAAUAAAGGGUGUUAGCGAUUCGAUUAUAGUGCCAGGAAAACAUACUGUUUUCCUGGCACUAUAGUGCCCUGAGGGUGCCCCCACCCUCAGGGACCCCUCCCUACCUCGCCUCUGGAAGCGUGGCGGGUGUUAGUUUCUUUCCAGCGCCAUGGAGCUCUUCCUCCGCCCGCCGACCGCUUCCGCCGUUGACGCGCACGCCAUACAGCCGCGCCGCCAGCAUUCAGCUUCCUCCGCCAAGCCGCAUAGGAAAGCAUUUACAAGCGAGGACGUUGCGUUUCACCGUGAAAAUCACAGUGAGAAAGAUCAAGAAAGCGUUUAGUGGCUGCUCACGAGACAGCUACUAGAGGAUUAGGGAAGGUUAUUCCAUUUCGAGUACUCAUAGCAGUUUCUCUGAAACUGCUAUAAUUAUGAAAAAAUGGGUUAACCCUAGCUGGACCUGGCACCCAGACCACUUCAUUAAGCUGAAGUGGUCUGGGUGCCUAGAGUGGUUCUUUAAUAAAAAAAAUUUAAAAAAUUAUAUAUGUGUAUAAAUAUGAUAUAUAGACAUAUAUUAUAUCUAUAUAAUAUAUGUCUAUCUAUCAUAUAUAUAAUGUCAUACUAAGUGUAUUUUUAUAUUAAUAUGUACUUAUAUUAAUAUAAAAAUAUACUUAUAAUUAAAUUACACGCUUAUAUAUAUAUAAUAUAUAUAGUAACUAUAUAUAGUGUGUAUAUAUAUAUAUAUAUAUAUUAUAAAAUACAAAUAAUAAAGAAAUUAAAUAAAAAAAUUUUAAAUAAAAUUUACAAAAAUUAUAUAUCUAUAUGAAAUUUUAUUCUAACUGUAUUUAAAAAUUAAUAUAUAUAUAUUUAUAUCAAAAUACACUUAGAAUGAAUUUGUAUAUAUAUCUAUGUAUAUAAAAAUAAAUAAAAAUAAUAAGAAAUAUACAUACGUCCAUAUACAAAAUUACAUAAAUAAUUAUAUAAAUAUACACGUAGACUUCAAAUGUAUAAAUAUGCAUAUAUAUUUAAAUUCUACGUGCGUAUUUAUGUAAUAUUUUUACAUAAUUCAGUAAUUUUAUUGAUUGCAAUUUGAGGGACCUGCCUGCCAACCCAGGCCGAAAUUCCAGAUAAUUUAAUUUGCUAGCACUGUAUUUUACCCUGUAACGUUCUACGACACCCUAAAACCUGUACAUGGGGGGUACUGUUUUACUCGCGAGACUUCGCUGAACACAAAUAUUAGUGAUUCACAACAGUAAAACAUAUCACAGCGAUGAUAUUGUCAGUGAAAGUUACUUUUUUUGCAUUUUUCACACACAAGCAGCACUUUUACUGAUGAUAUAAUUGUUGUGAUACGUUUUCCAGUUUUUAAACACUAAUAUUUGUGUUCAGCGAUGUCUCCCGAGUAAAACAGUACCCCCCAUGUACAGGUUUUAUAGCAUUUUUGAAAGUUACAAGGUCAAAUAUAUAGGUCAAAUAUUUUUACAUUGAAAAUGGCCAGGUUGGUUACGUUGCCUUUGAGAGCGUAUGGUAGCCCAGGAAUGAGAAUUACCCCCAUGAUGGCAUACCAUUUGCAAAAGAAGACAACCCAAGGUAUUGCAAAUGGGGUAUGUCCAGUCUUUUUUAGUAACCACUUGGUCACAAACACUGGCAAAAUUAGCGUUCAAUUUAGUUUUUUUUGCUUUUCACACUGAAACCAUGAUAUGAGAUACUUGCACUUUUGUCCGGUGUUUUUUCGACAAGUGGCUGCAGAACUAGCCUCUAUAUUAAAAUACCUAGGUUAUCUACUAAAAAAUAUUCUCUUUUAUGUGGGGUGUUAUUCAGAGAUUUAUGACAGGUAAUAGUGUUACAAUGUCACUAUUGAUAAAUUUAAAAAAUUUAUGUUUUGAAACCUCAAUAUUCUACUUGUACCUAUAGCCCUAUAACAUGCAAAAAAGCAUGUAAACACGGGGUAUUUUUAAACUCAGGACAAAAUUUUGAAUCUAUUUAGCAGUUUUUUUAAUUCGCUUUUGUAGAUGAGUAAAAGAUUUUUCAAGUAAAAGUCAAAAAACAUGUAUUUUUUCAAUUUUUCAUCAUAUUUUUUUAUUUUUUUUAAAUUAAAAUGCAUGAGAUUAUAUAAAUAAUGGUAUGUAAAGAAAGCCCCUUUUGUCCUGAAAAAAACAAUAUAUAAUUUGUAUGGGAACAGUAAAUGAGAGAGCGGAAAAUUACAGCCAAACACAAACACCACAAAAGUGUAAAAAUAUGCCACCAAUUACGCCAAAUGUACAACAUACUUAAAAACAGUCCAGUCAUAAGGUGUUAAAAAGGACCACUCCUAGGCACCCAGACCACUUCAGCAAUGAAGUGGUCACCAGAUUUUCAAACUUAGGGUUAACCCAUUUUUUUAAUAAAACUUGUAGCAGUUUCAAGAAAGAGAGCUGCUAUGUUUCAAUAUUGAGUUAACCAACGCUAAAAGAAACACUCUAGUGGCUGUCUCAUUGACAGCCACUAGACUUGCGUCUUCUACACUGUGAUUUUCACAGUGAGAGCGCGCUCAUCGGUCCAUAGGGAAAGCAUUAUGAAUGCUUUCCUAGUGACGGCUGAAUGCGCGCGCAGCUCCUGCGGCGUGCGCAUUCAGCCGACGGGAGGAGAAGAGGAGGAUCGGAGGAGGAGAGCUCUCCGCCCAGCGGUGGAAAAAGGUAAGUUUUACCCCUUUCCAGAGCCGGGCGGGAGGGGGUCCCUGAGGGUGGGGGCACCCUCAGGGCACUAUAGUGCCAGGAAAACGAGUAUGUUUUCCUGGCACUAUAGUGGUCCUUUAAGUUGCAAAUGUAUUUGUGAAAUUAAUAUAUAGAUCUACACUCAAAUUUGAUGGAACCUACAAAUUGAGAAAGCUAUGAGACAGUGAUGCCAAAAAUAAAUACAGAAAAUGCUUAUAGUGAUAUAGUAACAUUAAAGAAAAAACAUUUUAGUGUUAGGAAAACAAAUAUGUAUUCCUAACACUAUAUAGUGUCCCUCUGCCCCCAUACCCACCUGUCCAUACGUCCACACACGCAAUAGGCCUUCCCCAUAGGGAAGCAUUGAAUCAAUGCUUUCCUAUGGGGGUUUUCAAAACGGAUUCUGGGUACUGGAGUGACUUGAUAGAGAUGAAAAAUUACCCCAUUCCAUAAUGUCCUUUUGGUUAACUGCAAUGAUUGAAAAAACAUCAGAAAGAUUCUCUUUUACCAAAAUAUGUAAAUAUCAAGAAGCAAACAAAAAGAAAAUGUGAAAGUUUGAAUCCGCGUAAACUAACAUACCUAAGUAAUAUUUACAUGUGGUGGUUUUCAUAUAGCAGAAAUAAAUACAGAAUUAUUGUAAGCUAAUAUAGUAAGUUGGUAAACACUUUUUAUAUUCUUUAUACUUAUGAUUUUGAAUAUAUCAUAAUUAUUAAUCUUAAGUUCACAACUCUGUUGAUAACGCUUUGGUGCUCGCACUAGCUUCAAGGAAAUUGUAGUGUUAUGUUGUAAUAUACAUAUUUCAAAAAUCUGCUUCUUAAUUUUAACACCAGGAGUGAGUUUGAGGAGUCGUACCAAGGGGAGGCUUCCUGUUCCCAUGGUUAUUCUCCCAUUCAUGAAGCAUGGGGAUCUCCACACUUUCCUUCUGAUGUCCCGCAUUGGAGAAGAGCCUAUU